GUUCCUACGGCAGCAGUAGGGAAUCUUCCACAAUGGGCGAAAGCCUGAUGGAGCAACGCCGCGUGGGUGAAGAAGGUCUUCGGAUCGUAAAACCCUGUUGUUAGAGAAGAAAGUGCGUGAGAGUAACUGUUCACAUUUCGACGGUAUCUAACCAGAAAGCCACGGCUAACUACGUGCCAGCAGCCGCGGUAAUACGUAGGUGGCAAGCGUUAUCCGGAUUUAUUGGGCGUAAAGGGAACGCAGGCGGUCUUUUAAGUCUGAUGUGAAAGCCUUCGGCUUAACCGGGGGAGUGCAUUGGAAACUGG
rnacentral:rRNA from 1 species